GACGAACGCUGGCGGCGUGCUUAACACAUGCGAGUCGAACGGAAAGGCCCUGAUUUUGUGGGGUGCUCGAGUGGCGAACGGGUGAGUAACACGUGAGUAACCUGCACUUGACUUUGGGAUAACUUCAGGAAACUGGGGCUAAUAUCGGAUAGGAGCUCCUGCUGCAUGGUGGGGGUUGGAAAGUUUCGGUGGUUGGGGAUGGAAUCGAGGCUUAUCAGCUUGUUGGUGGGGUAGUGGAUUAGCAAGGCUUUGACGGGUAGCAGACCUGAGAGGGUGACCAGCCACAUUAGGACUGAGAUACGGACCAGACUCCUACGGGAGGCAGUAGUGGGAAAUAUUACACAAUAGCCGCAAGCCUGAUGCAGCAACGCCCCGUUCGUGAUGACCUCCUUCUGGUUAUAAACCGCUUUCUCCUGUGACGAAGCGUUAGUGACGGUAAUUAAUAAAGAAGCACCGGCUAACUACGUG
rnacentral:rRNA from 1 species